AAUGCUGUGGCUGUCACUGUGACGCGUGCGUGCUGUGCGUGUUAGAUGCCAGUGUGUGCAUGCAGGAGUGGCGUCCACCACAUUUCGUCAUCUGUUGAUGCUCGUUAAAGAAAGCUGGGAGGUUACGUUCGGAACCAGCGGUCAGCGAUCGGUGUGCACCAGAAGGUCUUAUGUUUUUCUCCUUUGGCUGAGUUUCGUUCGUUCAGACUGUACUGGUUUCGUUGGAUUUGUUUUGUUUAUUUGUUGGUUGAAGUUUCGUCAAUGUGUUAGUUAAUGUGGGUUGUGCAGCAAAUGGCAGUGGUGAAAUCAAUGUGGCUAAAACAUGGCUGAGGAGCUACUGGUUACAUUAAACCGGAGCGACACGUCUGGAUUUGGUUUUUCGUUGCUCGGGUCAGCCGGUCUUCCACACAUCGUUUAUGACAUCGUUGAGAAUUCGCCGGCGGCUGAAAGCGGCAAGGUUGAAGCUGGUGAUGUUAUUCUCAGGGUGAAUGAAGUUGACGUAAACAGAUUAAGUACAAAAGAAGAUCCUGCCAUAAAAGCCCGAGUUCGCCGGCUUCUCUCACCCGGGCAUCCAGCCUGCGAGGAGUUCGACGCAUCCCGGACCACCUCUGACACAAAUUCUCAGGAAAAGUCUUCCAGCAACCACGAAGGCAAGGACCACCUUAAACCAGGAACACCGGAACUAGCAGUGAGCCAGCCGCAGGCGCAUACCGGCCCAUAUUAUGCAACUCGCACAAACGGGUCAUACAGUGAUGCCUCGUGUUCCUCGGAGCUCGAAGCUCUUCUUCCACAGGUUGAUAGCUUCAAAGAGGAGGAACGUGCCCAGUGGGAGCCACUAUCCGCUGAUAAAUUCAACCGCCAGAAAAAUCCCCCCAGGUUUGAGGCCUACAUGAUGACUGGCGAUUUGAUGUUGAACCUAUCGAGGACGCAGCAAAGUACCGGACUCCUUCCGAAAUAUCAGAAAAAAGUGGAUUCUUUGAGGUACAACAAUCACCACAUACACCAUCAUCACAAUCACCAUAAUCACCAACAUCAUAACUCGGUACCUACGAGUCCCAACGAAAUGCUGAGCCACCGAAUGCACAGGGGUGGGGCUGGCUCAAAUUCUGCCAGCACCUCGCCCGUCGGUAUUAACAUCAGGCGCGAGUGCGGACAAGGUGCCGGUAGCGAUAGCAAAUCCAACUCGAACUUCGGCUACUCUAGCAGCUUCGUGCGGACAUCCAGGUCCGAGGAUCACCUGCAAUUCCAGAAGGAUCCGUCAAUGAGCGCCGUGGACAUUGACAUUGACGACGAUGUUACGUCAAGUCUUAACACGCUCCUAGACACCCGACCUGACAGUGGUCAAGGGAUAUCGAGCGAACGAAUCGUCUGGACUUACAACGCACCUGUUAGUUCACCUUCCGCCUCUGAGCGGACUUCCUGCUGCCAAAAUGGUAGCUCUUCACAGUCUUCGAGUAGCUCUCGUUCCUCGACUGAAGGAACCAGUCCUCAGCGUUCCUUGUCCCCCGCCUCUCCAACCUCUGUAUCUUCUUCCGUUAUGUCCUCGAAUUCUGGCUCCCGCAGGUUUCCUCUACCAACGGCUACCACUGGCGCAUCUUCCGGCCCAGUGGGCGAUGGGACACCCACGGGUAGUGGAGUCGGGAGCAUCUCAGGAGCAGGUGGAUACUUUCAUCCGACAAAUGGUGACCUCAGUCAGUCUGAGGCCAUUAGCAACAUGUCCAGCCCCGAUUAUAAUGACGAAGAAACAAUGGACAUACUUAGUGCGCGUGAUAUUAUGAUGGUUAGUGACCCUAGUGACAGUGAUUCCACAAUAUUAGCGAGUGAACCUCCUCAGAGGAGACUCCAAAACCCCGGUUAUGGAACUAACCAAGACAGUACUGAGCAUAGGAUAGUUAUUCAAGUUAAGGGACCCGAUAAGGAAAUCACUGGUAGUAGAAACAACAGCCUUCGCCAAUCCCGCCGACGAGGGAAUACCGCGACAUCGAAUGCCUCAGAGCUCAUACCUCCUUCGCAGAAUACCCAACGGUUUCAGUCAACGGUCAGCUCUGGAAAUGUUACACCGGAGUUUGUCGGUUAUCAGGAACUGAAAGAGAGCGAGGAUGAGAAAGAGGUACCAACCGUGGGCGAUUACGAGGAGCAACAGCAUAUUGUCAAAGGUUCAUCGCCACCACAGUCUGCGGAUGAAGAAAGUGACAUUGAAAGUUUGCAUAGCUUCCAUUAUAGUCCGAAAGCUGUUGAUCUCCCAUCAGCAAUAAGACUAGCAAAACGAUUGUAUUCACUUGAUGGAUUCAAAAAGUCUGACGUCUCCAGACACCUUAGUAAAAAUAAUGACUUUAGUCGAGCUGUGGCUGAGGAAUAUUUGAGGUAUUUUAAUUUUGAGCAAGACACGCUGGACGUGGCUCUCAGAAAGUUCCUUGCCCAAUUUUCGUUGACUGGUGAAACCCAAGAGAGAGAACGAGUCCUUGUACAUUUCUCAAAAAGGUUUCUCGACUGUAAUCCGGGUACAUUUAAUUCUCAAGAUGCUGUACAUACAUUGACUUGUGCUAUAAUGUUGCUCAAUACUGACCUGCAUGGUCAAAAUAUUGGUCGUAAGAUGUCAUGUUCGGAAUUUAUUGAAAAUUUAUCCGAGCUAAAUGACGGAGACAACUUCCCUAGAGAGGUGCUCAAACAACUUUACAAUGCUAUAAAGUCAUUUCCUCUGGAAUGGGCACUAGACGAUGAAGGAGACGAUGCUGCAUCCCAAGUCAUGCAACAGGGGGAUGGACCAGCAUUAUCCGGAACUGGUAACCCUUUUUUAGAUGUCCCAAACGUAACUGGUGCUACAGAAUUCAAGAAAGGCUAUGUAAUGAGAAAGUGUUGUUAUGAUGCAAAUGGAAAGAAAACACCAUUUGGAAAGCGAGGUUGGAAAAUGUACUACUGUACAUUAAGAGAACUGGUCUUAUACCUACAUAAAGACGAGCAUAGUUUUCGCAGCGAUAGCUUACAUAAUGCUAUAAGAAUUCAUCACGCACUAGCAACAAAAGCCGCUGACUAUACAAAAAAGCAGCAUGUCUUUAGACUGCAAACUGCUGAUCAAGCUGAGUACCUCUUUCAAACUAGUGAUUCUAAAGAACUGCAGUCUUGGAUCGACACGAUCAACUUUGUAUGCGCCACUUUUUCUUGUCAACCACUCGCAGGAGCUGUUGGAUCUCAGCGUAAAUUUCAAAGGCCUCUGCUUCCAUGCAGUCACACAAAACUGUCUCCUAGAGAACAGUUGCGAGACCACGAAGAAAUUGUCAGUCGACUGGAAGCAGAGCUCGAUGAACACAGAAGACAUCCGCCAGAACGAAAUUCAAAGGCUUUAACUGUACAAAACUACAAAGAAAAAGAUGUAUAUUUACAUUACGAGUUGAAGAGGUAUAAGACCUAUGCAUAUUUGCUGAGAUCACGGUUGGCCUUUACGGAUGUGGAACCUUCACUGGUCGAAAGCAGUAUCGGUGAGGUUGACGAAGGGACUGGAAACUUGGCUAAUACUGACGUAGCACUAGUACCACCGCCUGUUCCGGAUCGACUACCUACAAAUAGGUUCUGCGGGGCGUGGUGCUGCUUAUGGGGAAGGACUCAAGUGCCCCUAAGUCGCCUUGCCUGAAGAGCAGUCAAACCUUUUUGAGGAACUCUGGUGAAAAUCUUCAUUGAAAAUUUUUCUACACAACUCUUCAGAAUACCUCUGCAGAAGACUGUAAAUUACUGAGUUUCUCUCGUAACCUCUACGUUUCUAUUCCAAAUCUUGUAAUUGCUUGGUAUUUCUGAACAUCGUUCGAUUUUAUUGUCACAUUUUUAAGAGAAACUCUGAAUUUUCUUACAUUUUAUUUGGUACUUCUCUCGAAUUCUGACCUUUACAUUUUUAUGUUAUUUGACUACAGAAUCCUACAUUGCAAAUCAAAAAUAGCAAUUCUCUAAUCUACUAUCUGGAUCAUUACUCAUUACUUUCAACUUCUUUUUUAUCCAGUGUUAACUUUGUCUGUAUAAAUAUCAAUUAGUUCAAUCAGCGCAUAUAAACCGAAAUAAAUUGAAUCUGUGACAUUGUAGUUAGUAACGUUAGUGUAACUUAAGUGUAAAAAAAAUUGCAGAAUAAAUCACUGUCUUGCAAAUACUAGAUGAUUCUAAUUGUAAGAGAGUAAAAUGGACAAAAUAUGCACACAUUUAUUAUAUUAUUACGGUUUACUGAUUUCAAAAACAUUCUAAGUAAGAAAAUAAUGACUUUUUCUAAAAAAAAAUGCAUCGUAACAUUAAACGUUACUAACUUCAACUUCAUUCUAAUGAUACACAACACUGCUUACAUGCUUGAAACUUGUAAAAAAUGUCCUCAGAAAUAAUUAUUUGAAAGAGAAAAAUCAAAUGAGAAUCCAGGGAAAAUUAUAAUCAUCUCGAGAAAAUUGACGUGCGCAAAAAUUAGAUACAGAGAAAACAAGUGUGCUGACAAAAUUCAAAAUACCAUGUAGAUUUGGAGAAAUUUCUGUAGAAGAAACUUGCGGCAACAAGCAAGAAAUGUUUUCACAAAACUCUAUAGUUCUAUAAGAAGGUAAAAAUUUCCGAGUGACUAUCCUACAUAACUUUAUCAUGAAAGACUGCAGACUUUCAACAAUCAGAAAGCUCAGAAACAGUCUUGUGUCCGUGGACUAUGAAUCUUUCAUAAAUCCUCAAGUCACGUGCAAGUUUAAAAACUGCCCGUUAGAUGCCAAAAUAAUUACCUUUCUGUUCCUUAUCGAUAAUUGUCUACGUCAUCUGAAUAUUUGUCAUUUCAUUUACAUAUACGUUCCUUAUGAAAUUCUCAUUUUAGAAGUGUUACAGAAUACGAUGCAAAAACACUGCUAAUACUUUUCAAAAACCAGUCACGCAGCUGUGAAAAUUGAACGCCAAUAUCUGUCGUGAAAUUAAAUAACAAAAUAAAAUUAUAUACUAUACUUUUGCACAAGUAUGUAACGUGAAGGCGGCUCCUGGUAUUUGACGUGAUAACAUUAAAAAAUCAUUCUCCGAUCUGUGAUAUAGUUGGCAGAUACAUUCCUUAAGAGGAUGUUAUAGUCAGUCUUUAUCGACAGAGGAAAGUGUCACUUUUUUUACUUAACUAUUAUCAAAGCCUACGUAGUACUGACGUGAAAAUGCUGCAGUGGCCAUAAUUCUACACGCAAUGCCGAACAAAAAUAUCGUAAAACUUUUGUUUUUCAAGAGCGAGAAUAAGGCCGGAAAAUGUAUUCCUAUAAUAAGUGGUAAUUCAAUCACAGGAAUACAUUUCUAAACACAAUUGUUGCGUAGAUAAGUAACAUUUUUACCAACCGUCGUAACAUAAAGCGUAGCGUGCGAGACUGUGCAACUGCGUUUUUCGGCAGUUUCUCUUGUCCCUUUUGCGAAUGAGGGUGUUUCUAUUGAACCUCUUAAGUCUGCUGAAGACGCGUGAUGAUGGUCACUUAGCCUUUCCCCCAUCACCAUGUGACGGUUUUAUAAUUUACAUGGUCUAUAAAGACCAACUAUAGCAUCCUUUUAACUUCCGACCCCUUCUGUGUAUUCAGCGAAUAAGGUAACUUAUGAUUGUUUCACUUUUGUGUGCAAGAUUUUUGUGAUGUAGGUUCAUUUUGGCUGUACAGCAUAAUUGGAGCAACAAAGGGGUGAAAAAUAAUCACCACUUGAUCGCAAAUACGAUUACUGCUACUGUGCUGGCAUUGAACAUACAAUUUAUAUAAAGUUUUAAGAAAUUCGUAAAACAUUGCUGUAUUGAUCAAGUCAUUUAUGGAUAUUUAGGAUUUUGCAAUGACGUUGUAACUUGACAGGAUAAAAAAUAAAUGCAAGGUAUCAAAAAUCGUUCUAGCAUGGAACGAAAAUUCAAAAUUGAAUUGAAAACAACGUAAAAAAUACGAAAGGCAAAAAUAAUGUGCAACAUUUAACAUCAUUUAACAAUGAAAAAGCUAAGCUUUAUUUUUCGAUUUCGCAACAGAAGAUAGCUAUUGAUAUCGACCAUUGCUUGGUGGUUUUUCCUGAGAUAUUUUGUGUAAAUUAUUCCAAAUUGAACAUUAUUUGAUAUUUAUAAUGUCUUAGAAAUGGUGGUGAUUUUACAUAAAUUUCUAGUUUAAUGUAUGAUCGCACUGGCCGAGACUCCCGUUCAUGCGAACUUCAUACAAAAAUAUUUCCUGGUUACGAAGAUUUAAUACAAUCAGUGGGGAAAUUAUUUUGAAUGCAUAAGCUCAUAUUUCAAAUUUCAUGUUUAUAUGUAUAAUGGAGUAUUACAACUACGUAAACUCAUAAUAACGUACCUAGUAUUUCAAUGGCUGAAACAAAGUAAAGACGAAGUUAUGCUUCAGCACUGUUGAUGCUUGAUGAUUAAAGAGCCACUGGAAAUGACUGGAACAAAAUUUUUAGUAUGCAUUUUACCGGCAAUAAUUCAUAUUUACGUAAAUUUCAUUGCAGAAUAUUGCAUAGUUUCAAAGAUUCCUUAUGCGUUAUUGAAUGAUCGAUAUCCAUAGGCGUGUAGUUUUCGGUUGUAUUAACUAACCAUGAAAGUGUCACUAAAAUCGUUGCGAUCGUUAGAUUCUGGUACGGAGCGUAUUAAGUGGUUGCCAAACACGGACCCUAUGUAAAAUUGUCAAUAAAUAUCUAAUUUUCAUUCAAACAACACUAAUAUGAAUGAUAAAUUUGAUAUAAAUAAUAUUGUGCUGAUUACAAUGAAUUCCAAGAAAAAUUCAUAAGGUUUGUCAUGAUUUCCGCGGUAUUACGUUCCUGAGAAAUUAGAAGUGUGGUAGCGCCGCCACUUUUUUUCGUUGUCUAAUCAUCGGCCCGUUUCUGCUCUACAUAGUACAAUGCUUUUCGAUAAUCUAUUGACUGCUUAUAUUACGAAAAGUGUAUCAACAGUUUUAUUCUUAUAUCGAUACGCAUCUUCUACAGAUUGGAUUUCUACUAUCAACUUCAAAUCUGGCGUGAAGUUGAUCAGAGCCCUUAUAUCAUAGCGACCUUGUCAAGUAUCUAUAACAGACUCACGACCAGACGCGUUCUGUAUGUAUCUUUUCCUUACUUUAUUAUUCAAUAUUUCUUUAGAAACUGCGAUUAUCCAUAUUUUCUUCGUAAUCUAUAAAAUCCUGAUAUUUCCAAGUGAAAUUAUCGUGUAAGUCUUAAGUUGUUCAACGUGACAAUUAUUCAACUCUCUCACGGCAACCCUACUGAAAAUUAUUGAAUGAUAAAUCGCAUAAUGUUACGACCAAAAUUCGGAUGUAUUUUAUGAUGCAAUUUAAGAUGUGAAUACGACUUAAUCCAUAGCAAAUAACACAAUAAGUCAUGAAUUAUAGAUUGUAAAAUAAAAUACAUAACAAAUCAUAUAUCGAAUCAUGGGUUUCGCUUUAUGAUUUUUUAUGUAUUUUAUCUCAUAAUCUAUACUUUAUAGUUUAUCAUGUGAUUUGUUACGUAUUAACUGGUAUUCACAUGUUGGAUAACAAUGAUAACAAAUUAAUCAAUCUCGUGACGAAGUAAUCUACAGUUUCUCACAGUCAGGGUGGCGACAUACUGAGUAAUUCGGAAAAACCGGGAUUAGUCAGGGAAUUACGAUGAUCCACAAAGAAAAACGUACUUUUUUCAUAAAUUAUUUUCAAACUUCAACUGUGCUUUUGUUGAAUUAUAUAUAUUAUUCACGGUGAUAUUAAAAUUAAUGUAAUAUUAUGUUCAUACAUAUUUGUGUGAAACGAAGUAAUACUAUGUGUUCCUCCAUUGAAAUUUAUAUAUUGAAGGUGCACAAUUUCUGGAUCUUUUUGUCGUAUAAGCCGCCCAACAUUGUACAAAUUUGGUGAAAUAAGGCCAGGGAAUGCUGAAUUUUUUGACACGGAAAGUCAGGAAAGAGUCAUGGAAUUUUAUUUGAAUAAAAUUGUCACCAGCCUGUUCGUUAUCCAGGAAUGUCACACUAAAAUAUUAUUUGCAUGUUCUGUACUCUAAUAUACCUUUAGCACUGAAUUUAUUCCUGACAUAACACCACUGCCUUGCCUGUAUCGAAUGUACAAAUUGUACCUAUCAUAAUAAAAUUAGUGAAUGUAUUCACUAUCGAUGAGUUACGCACAUAGGUAAUAUCCUGUAUUUAUGGCCACAGCCACAGAUGACGUGCAGCUGUUUUGUAACUAUUUACUUGUAUUAAACAACUGGAGGAUUAAUAUUUUAUUGAAAAUUCUAAUAUGACUAUAUGCCACAGAGCGAUACAAUGUUAAUGGUAAUUAAUUUUGAUUCAUUGAUUUCCGUUGAAAGUCUGCUUUCAGAGUUAUGCGCACUUUUUAUUCUCUAUCCGACUAACGCAAAUAAUGCCUUAGCGAUGGCUCUGUACAUCGUCUACCUAUCAUUACCCUGUUUUGCUGAACAUUUAAAAUCAUUCUAUCAAACACACUUCAAUUAUGCUAAAAAUUCCAUUUCCUAUUAUUUCUUUUCAUGUUUUGGGCAGCUCUUAAUAUAUACUCGAUAUUUAACUUAAUGCAAACACAUUAUUAUACAUAUUAAUUAUAUAUAUUGAUGAUGAUCAGCUCCUGUAAUUAAAUUUGUAAAAUAUGUGGAUAACAUAAUGCAAUUCUAGGCAAAGGGAAAGUAUGAAUGAUAAUGAAAAUAAACAGCUUCUGGAUUACGUAAUAUAUGAAUUUUUAGAUUUAAACCCAAGACAUAGAUGCAUCCAGCAUGAUUGAGUUUUGAAUGUUAUCUGUACUCCAUAAUGCACGAAAUCAUAAAAAGCAUGACUCACUUUGAUACAUUAAUUCAGAGUUCACAGACAUGUAUACAAUUUUACCCUUACGAUUACUUCAUAUAAAAAGACUAUUUAAUAAAACACGUACAUUUUUGGCAACCUCGGUAAUUCUGGCAAGAAAGUCCCAAAAUUGCUGUGAUUUUGGGAAACGUGCUGUCAUCAAAAUGGCGUUUAGUUUCAAAUCUGAUUAUGCACUUCUUAACAUUUUUUGCUAUCCACUUUUCUUCUUGUACGAAAUUUAUAGAUAUAUAUAUAUACAGUGGUAAAUUCACCCUAGACAAUUCGGUGGUGAAUUUCAUAAAUUAUUUUUCGGAUGAAAUACCAAUUCAGAAAAUAAUUCAAUCAAUGCAAAUUUAAAUCCGUUUAUCUCUUCAUAUUUCAAAUAUGCAAAUAGCUUUGUGUUCUCGAGCAAUAAGUUUUAGUUAUACGUUGUACUCGUAUUCAAAGCACUUUGAGUGUAACAGAUUGAAAGAGGAAUAGCUCACAGCAAAUAACAGUCUUCUGUCUGAUUGCUGUCAAUCUCAAUUACCAAAAGCACAUCUUGUCACUAAUUUUCUACAAAAUUGUUCAUCCGAAACAAUUGAGGACCGCAUCCAAUUAAACAGAUAAACGGAAGCCCCUUGCUUAAAAAAAAUCCACCAUUUUGCUAUCUGGGUAUCUACAUUUAUGAAGUCCUCAUAAUUACAUGUUCUCAAUUUUGAUACCUCUUGUUGGACAAAUCUGAAUCAAUGUAACGUGUGAAUCAAAAGGACUUAGAGACCAAGAGACCAAACUCGGGUGGUAGGGAUAGGCUUGUCGCCUGGCAGCGAUACUAAGCGCAGAAUACUUGCGCAAUGCGGUACUGCGCAAUCAAAUGAUUCAAAAUAAUUCGAGUCUGUCCCCUAACUUUGAAACAAAUGAAUGUGGAUAUGCGCAGUAUCGGAUUACGCAAGCAUUCUACGCUCAACAGCGCCGCCAAGGGCCUUCUAUGUAUUGGUCCACUUCAAAUUACUGACUUGGAUAGGAGUUCGGUCUCCUGGUCUCUAGUCUUCCUAAUGUAAAUGGAGGACCCACUGAUGACCUGAUUCUGAGCAGCUUCGAUACAAGUAACGCCAUUUCGUCACCCUGGUCAAGCUGAACUGGCCUUAUUCUACUAGCUCACUGCAGUCAUCAUCCAUUGCAUACACAAGGCUGCAUUUUCCAUUACAUUACCAUAAUAAUAUACAAACGAGACAUCACAAGUCGAACUUUUCAUUCUGAUUUCAGUUAAAUAAUAAUCAUAGCAAAAUGAUUUAGAUUUUACGGGAAUAUUAUAAACUUUAUGAUAUUAGUGAUGACAAGUGUUGUGUUCAGGCGCGGUACAGAGCAACUGUUCAGAAACGACAUCAACUCAUUCGACUCUGUACAGCGCAAAUAGCAACGGACAGUAUAUAACCGGGUGAACUCUUGAGGACGUCUGUAAGUGGUUUCACUUGUUACGUUUCUAUGAAUUUACAAUCAAGGUAACUUUUAGAGAUCAACAAACGGGAUACACAAUCGCCUGUAGACGGUCUGUGGAUACAUCGUAUUUUGCUAUCACGAAACAUUGAAAAAUACAUAGUUUCUUUACAAACUGAAAAAUAGCCAUUGAUCAUAAAACUUUAGAUAAUGGUGACAAUUUAUAAAUACCAUUCAUUGAACAUUCUUUAGUAAAAUACGUUGGUAUUGCAUAAUUAGAUUGCGAUAGAUGUAUGAAACAAAAUUAAUAUGGUUUCAGAAUACUAAAUAUUUGUUUUCUCUAUGUAAUAUUGUCCUCUUCAGCGCAUUCAGUAUGAGGUAUUUGAAGUUAUCCUUGAGUUGAAAAUAAAAUUUUAUAAUUCCACUAUAUUGGGUAAAAAAUUUAUACUUGAAUUUAAUAUUAAACACUAUCAGAAUAUAAAUACUACGGCUCAUACAAGAGAAUUAGAUAUUAGGUCAUGUUUUAUGUACAUUGGAUGAUACGUUUGUAAUCUGAUUAUAUCGGACUUGGCUCCAGAAAAUACUUAUGAAAUUUAAGUUUGUAAUUUUAACUUGUCGAAAUAUAUUGAGUAAAAACUAGCACAUUGCAACUUGAGAAUCAUCUUAAAGGAGUAAGAUUUCCAAAAUAUAUCGGUACUGUUUUGCUUUAUUUCAAUUUACUGAAUUUCCGGCAAUUCUGAAUAUGAUGGAAGAACGAUUUUCUCUAGAAAUGCAUUCUUACAGUACUAUUGGAAACUUCAACCUCGUCUUACUUUUACGGAUAUAAAAAAAAUUAUCGUGCUCUGUCUUGCUGUAAUGGAACACGUACUGAUGUUAUUACCAUGUGAAUAUUCUACUUGUGGUACCUCGUUCGUGUAAUUGUAUAUAUUUUUUCUGCAGACACAUUAUUUUACUAUCACAAAUAUUAUUACAUCGACAUUGUUCAUUUUCCCCUCCAUAAUUAUAAAAUGUAUAAAUGCCAAAGAAUUGCAUUUAAUUACUUGUACUUUGCUGACUAUCUCAUUAUUGUGUGUAUAUUUAUAUAUACUUGUUAAUUAUGACGGAUCAAUUUGUUUCGUAAUUUUUAUAUGACUUUAUAUAUGUGCUUCUCUACAAAUACCUAAAUUACGUUUCUUUCCAGUACAAGAUAAUGUAAGAAUCCGAUUCAAUUCGCUUCAUUCGCACCGUAAUUUUGAUUCAUUUUUUCUUGGUGUUACGCAACAUUGGGGACAAAUAUUAUAUGCACGGUAACAUGUACAAAGUUCUACGCAAUUCCUUUAAUUACAUUAAAAGAAACUUCAGAAAGCACUACGUAGUUUUAUUAUUUACAUCAAACGCUGGAACUCGGAAGCAUGUGCAUACUAGGAACUCUGGAAGUAAAUCAAAUUUAUCCACAGCGAUUUCCGCUGGAUUCGAAAACUUGAAAAGUCAAAAUCUUUAUUUUUAUUUAGGACAAAAUCCAAUUGACUUCCGCACAUGCAACUAUAAUUUUUUCAUGUUAUUAUAUUUUAUUCAGUUUCCGAAAAUAUUGACAAAUGUAGGCAAAAACGUUUAGGUACUUACCGCAGUUGGUACAAAUUUGAAAUUUUAUAAUAAUGUACAGUUCAUACAUUCAUAUUCUAUUUCAAACCGUUAACGCUUCUGAUUUCCUAACGACGUUGUUCUAUCCUUUUUAGUACCAUGCUAUUGUUUAACGCAACUUUCACAAGCGGUAAUGGCUUCUAACUCACCUUUACAGAAGAAUUGUGCAGAUUUGUAACAGUGGUAUGAUUAGUAGUAGUUCACUUAUAAUCUAUUCGAAGUGGUUCAUAAUAUAAUUAAUGCACUAAUUGUUAGCUGAAAAAACGCAAUUAUCAAUUAUCAAGCAUCAUCACAAAUCUUAUCAUACAUUUAUAUAUAUUCGUUUUCUCUGUAAUAUUACUAUAAGACUGAAUGAAAUGUCAGAGGAUGAAGAGAUAUAGUGUAAUUGUUUCCCCGAUAUGAAAAUACAUGACAUGAUUUAA